AAUAUUGGACAAUGGGGGCAACCCUGAUCCAGCCAUGCCGCGUGUGUGAAGAAGGUCUUCGGAUUGUAAAGCACUUUAAGUUGGGAGGAAGGGUUGUAGGUUAAUACCCUGCAAUUUUGACGUUACCAACAGAAUAAGCACCGGCUAACUUCGUGCCAGCAGCCGCGGUAAUACGAAGGGUGCAAGCGUUAAUCGGAAUUACUGGGCGUAAAGCGCGCGUAGGUUGUUCGUUAAGUUGGAAGUGAAAGCCCCGGGCUUAACCUGGGAAUUGCUUUCAUAACUGCUGAGCUAGAGUACGGUAGAGGGUAGUGGAAUUUCCUGUGUAGCGGUGAAAUGCGUAGAUAUAGGAAGGAACACCAGUGGCGAAGGCGACUACCUGGACUGCAACUGACGCUGAGGCACGAAAGCGUGGGGAGCGAAC
rnacentral:rRNA from 1 species